GACGAACGCUGGCGGCGUGCUUAACACAUGCAAGUCGAACGGAAAGGCCCUGCUUGCAGGGUACUCGAGUGUCGAACGGGUGAGUAACACGUGGGUGUUCUGCCCUGCACUUCGUGAUAUGCCUUCGAAACUGUGUCUAUUACCGGAUAGAAGCCAUUUUUAGUGUUAUGGUUGGAAAGUUUUUUGGGUGUGGGGUGAGCUCGCGGCCUAUCAGCUUGUUUGUGGGGUAAUGGCCGACCAAGGCGGCGACGGGUAGCCGGCCUGGGAGGGUGGACGGCCAAAUUGGGAAUGGGGUACGGGCCAGACUCCUACGGGGGGCAGCAGGGGGGGAUAUUGGACAAUGGGCGGAAGCCUGAUGCAGCGAAGCCGGGGGGGGGAAGACGGGCUUUGGGUUGUAAAAUCGUUUCGCUAGGGACGAAGCUUUUUGUGACGGUAACUAGAUAAGAAGCACCGGCUAACUACGUG
rnacentral:rRNA from 1 species